rnacentral:rRNA from 1 species
AGCGAACGCUGGCGGCAGGCUUAACACAUGCAAGUCGAACGCCCCGCAAGGGGAGUGGCAGACGGGUGAGUAACACGUGGGAACGUGCCUUUUGGUUCGGAACAACUCCGGGAAACUGGAGCUAAUACCGGAUAAGCCCUUCGGGGGAAAGAUUUAUCGCCAAAAGAUCGGCCCGCGUCUGAUUAGCUAGUUGGUGGGGUAAUGGCCCACCAAGGCGACGAUCAGUAGCUGGUCUGAGAGGAUGGCCAGCCACACUGGGACUGAGACACGGCCCAGACUCCUACGGGAGGCAGCAGUGGGGAAUAUUGGACAAUGGGCGCAAGCCUGAUCCAGCCAUGCCGCGUGAGUGAUGAAGGCCUUAGGGUUGUAAAGCUCUUUCGCCGAGGACGAUAAUGACGGUACUCGGAUAAGAAGCCCCGGCUAACUUCGUGCCAGCAGCCGCGGUAAAAC